UGACCUCGAGCUGUCUUCCUACCUCAGCCUCCCAGAGUGCUAGGGUUACAGGCGUGAGCCACCACACCCGGCCUUUCCAUGUUUUUUGAUGAGUGGGAUUGUGUGCUUCUUGAACAUGGAAAGGAGAGUAUUAUUUUUUGUUGCAUAACAAAUUGCCACAAAACUAAUAGCUUAAAAUAAACAUUGUCUCACACAGUUUCUGAGUGUCAGGGAUCCAGGAACAGCUUAGUUAAGUUGUUCUGGCUCAACUCUUGACUGCACAAAGUUGUAGUCACCUGAAGGCUUGAUUGGGGCUGGAGGAUCUGCUUCCAAAAUGGCUGUUGACAGAUGACUCUAGUUCCUUCCCGGUGGUUGGGAGAAGACCUCAGUUCCUCCUUGUGGGCCUCUUUACUGGGCUAGCUGAGUGUUCUCAAGCCAUGGAUUGCUGAUUUCUGGAUCUCUGAGUGAUCCAAGAGAGUGAGCAAGGAGGCUGAAAUGCCUUUUAUGACCUAGUUUCAGAUGUUACUCUGUCAUUUCUAAAAUAAGCUAUUCAUUAGAAUGAGUCACUAGGUCUAGCCCAUGUGUCAAGAGGAGAGAAAUCAAGCUCCACCUCUGAAAGGCAAAGUCUCAAAAAAUUUUUGUACAUAAUUUAAAGCUAUCAGGGUACAUGUUUUGCCACAAAAUUACACACCUAUGUGCAGAGUAUACUCCUCCCAAGGCUUCCAGAAGUUUUAUUCAUUACAGCAUUAACUGGAAGUCCACGUUCUCAUCAUCUAAAUCAGAUCCAGAUGUGGAACAGGUUUCUUGGGGUAGUAUUCUUUAUGGGCAGUAUCUCAAAUACAAUUCCUCUAGAUCUGAAAGCCUGUGAACUAAAGUUAUCUGCCUAGCUAUGUCCCCAUCCCACUUACAGUAGUGGUACAGGUAUAGGAUAACUUCUAUAGACAUUGCUGUUCAGAAAAGAAUGGGUGUGAGGAUAGGAGUCAUAUAGUAAUCACCAGUCAGUAGCAAUUCUGAAAUCCCAGCAGGCACAUGUUAGCAGUUCAUUGAUUAGGACUCAGUGCUUGGAAGAUCUGUGGGCUCUUGGCUCUGACAUUUGGGUUCUAUUCUUGGUUUUUUCCUAUAACAUACUUUCUUUUUCACAGAUGAAUGUACAUGGGAUAGCUGAAUAGUUUUCUCAGCCUGCUUCCUACCUGAAGAAGGCAGAGGUCCAGAGACCUCUUUACAUUUUAUACUCUUUCUCGUCCUUUCAUUUCAAGCUAGCGACAUUUCUCCAAAUAUAUUCUCUUAAUAACUUUGUUUCCAGUUAAGCUUACUGGUGUUUACUCCAAAGAACUCCACUCUAAAGCCACAACCAGUACAUAUCUUCAAGGUAAGACCUUCUCUAUCUUGGUUUUCUGUUGAGAUAGCUCAGAGACAGUACCAUUAAGAUUCUUAGAAGCACUACUCUUGGAGAUCGUCUCUGGGGCACACCCUUAAAUUCAGAGGGCCUUAGUCUGAUUGAAUGGUAUGGUAGUCCCCUCAUGUGUGGCGGAUAUGUUCCAAGCCCCCUAGUGGGUGCCUAAAACUGCAGAUAGUAUCAAACCCUAUAUAUACGAUGCAUUAAUUUCUUUUUCUUUAUUUACAGUUUCAUGGUUAGAAGACUUUUAUAUAGUGUAGAUCUUAGCAACCUCAGCCUAUGAUCGUUUUGUUGAGAACUUUCACCUCUUCACUUAAAGGAAACAGUUUAUAGCUUCCCUUUGGCAAAUCAAAAUUCCCAGCAUCACUACUCUUAGGCUUUGGGACUAUUAUUAAAUAAUGUAAGGGUUACUUGAACACACCACUGUAAUACUGCCACAGUCAAUCUGAUAACUGAGACAGCUGUAAGUGAAUAAUAGGUGAGUAAGAUAUAUAGCAUGGGUAUGGUGGACAGAAGGAUGAUUUAUGUCCUGGGCAGGAUGGAGUGGGACUAUGCUAGAUUUCAUCACAUUGCUCAGAAUGCCACUCAAUUUUAAGACCUAUGAAUUGUUUAGUUUUGGAAUUUUCCAUUUACUAUGUUUGGAUCACAGUUAACUGUGGAUAACCGAAACUGCUGAAAGAGAAACUGGAUGGAGGGAGGGGGAACUACUGUAUUCUGAAGCAUUACCUUUCAUCUUUCUGGGCCUUAAAAAAGGAUUUUAUAGUCAUGCUGUAAUGUGAGGAUGAGGAUUUUUCACCCCAAUGCACCUUUCUUCAGUGCCAUGGAUAUGAUCUUUGUUUGGCAGCAGUUAAUUUUAGGAUCUUUUGCCAUCUGAAGAGACUGGGAAUUUCUAAAACCAGCAAGUACUGGCUGUUUGUUGUUUAACAGUGCUUCCCUCAGCUUUUUUCUUUUUUUUUUUUUUUAAACUCAAGAGGGGAUAAGAUAUCAGAGAAGCUCAGCUUAUUUCUUUCCCCUCAUGUUUUAAGCAGCAAGAAGAAACCAGGCAGCAUGUUCAGCAUUCUGGCUGGAAAUCUCCUUGGCCAGAUGACUCAGUACAGUAGGUACAUUUUCUACUUUUCACAUACCUGUAGCUGAGAGUGUUAUUAAACUUUCUGCCACUACACAACUACAUAACCCCUAUCUCAAUUUUCUAAUAACAUUUUCCUUACUUCCUUUUAAGCUACACUGCAGCCUUCCUAGAGUCCAGCUUUUAACUCAGGCUUGUACGAGAACUCUCCUUGAAGUCCAUCGAGCCCAGUGCCCAGUUCCAAAGCCACUCCCAUAUUUUAGAUAUUGCUACAGCAGCACCUCCCCUCCAGUCCCCUGAAGGAAAGUCCUUGUCCAAGGAGUGAAGAGGGUGAACAGAGGAAUCCGGGACAUGGUAGGGAAGCCCUGAAGCUCUGCUUGCUGAGGACUAAUUGUGGCAAUUCAGAACCCCUCCUCUCUACGUGUCUGUUAUCCUCUGGCCAGGAGCGCCUCUGCUGCCACAGGAAAAAAACCCUCAAGGCCUCGUCCUUUACCUGCAUUGGGUCCUGAACAAGUUUAUUUGUUAGAGCUUCAUAGGGAAAGGGUUUAUAAUGUUCACAUCUAUGGAAAACAUAUUUAUCUAACAUCACAUCAGCCAAAUAGAGUGAAAAACAGUAGAACUCAGCCUACACUGGAGGAAGAGAGCAACGUCCUUAACAUGCAGCGGUCACCAAGCUUUGCCCUCUCAUUGGUGUCCUCCUUCACAUAUCAGUGGAAUAAAAUAUUUGACAUAUGUUCUUUCUAUAUUUUAAUGAGGAUCAGGUGUUUCUCUUUCAAAAAUAAUAUUCUGUCCUCUUGUAGGUUAUCCACUGAGGUGCCCUGUGCACCUGCCGUAUCUGAACUUGUGUCUGCAGAGGAAGCUGUGUUUAAACUCAGGGAAUACUUUUCUUGCAUCCUGUAGUGAUUCCUAAGAUGUGGUACAUAUUUACCUUUGUUGACCUGGUUUGCUUUUUUUUUUUCAUAGAUAUCCAUGUUCUUUAUAUGAGAAUGGGCUGUAGAUGAAUAUUUGGGGUCAUCAGCCUAUAGGUAACCACUGGGCUGGCAAAGGGGCUAGGGAACAAUCCAGAGUGUAUUCUGUGACCAAUGGAGUGGCCCUAGCACUGAGGACACAGCACAGAACUGAGAACAGGCAGAGCACCCCUGCGGAGUCUCUGUGGGGACAAGCACUGAGGGCAAAGGGGCCAGUGCUUUUGUGCUUCCCUGACUCCCAGCUUUUCCUGCAGCCCACUGCAGGACCACGUUAGGUACAUUGGAUUAAGGUGUGUGUGUGGGGGGGGGGAAGAAGCUGCAUUUUGGGAGUGUGGUGUCAAAGUUAUAAAAUUUAGAUUUUGUUUUAUAUUGUUAAAAAUUAGUGCAGUGUUCGGGAUUUUUAGUUUCAUUUCAUUUUGCUUUGGAAUUUUCUAACAUUUUGUGAGUGGAAUGUAACAUUUUUGUAUGUUUCCAUUAUGUUUUUGCUAAGCUUUAUGUAGUCUGAGGGUACAUUUAUUCAUAGAUAUAGAAUCAUUGUGUUGUGUGAGUAUAAUAUCAAAAUUUUCUCUUAAUGAUUAAAUACUGGCUUGCCUGAAUUUCAA